GCGGUGAGGAGGACAAUGAUGGCGAUGAGAUUGAUGAUGACGGCGAUGAUGAUAAAUAGGAGGAGGAAGGGAGAGGAGGUGAUAUUGGUGGGGUGGCAGUAUCAGUAGUGGUGGCAUUAUUGUCAAUAAUAUUGUCAUUGACAAAACGAUUGGCAGCAGCAGCAGCUACUCUUUGGAUGGAUUUAGGAGACAUAACAGUAUCAGGAAUGUAAUGAGAGGAAGUGAUGGGAAAGUUGAGAUUUGCUGAAGAACCUUUGAGGCAUAUGAGUGCAGCAUCAUAAGCCCUAGCAGCUGCUUCUGCCGUUGAAUAAGAACCUAACCAUAUUCUUGUCUUUUG
rnacentral:lncRNA from 1 species